GUUUUCCCCUGUGAGCCUAGAGUCUUCUAAUCCUAGCUGGGCCCUUCUUCCCUGGCUCACUGCAUGAUGGAUUUUCUCUUUUUCUCCUGGAGCAAAUCUCUGUAGGCAAAACUCUUCAAUGUUCUGGAACAGAUUUUUAAUUAUCAGCAGAGCCACAGUCUGUCUGAAGCACAAAAUACGCGGCUAAAAGGGCGGAUCAGCCACAUCCUAAGGAGGAGAGAAGAGGCGCCGUGCAGCUGUAGUGCUGAAACAGCUCUUGUGAUACAGGAGCGUGAGCAGCUCUGGUCAGGACAUGGGAAAGCAAAACAGCCUCUCCUUGCUGGUAAAUCCACGUGCAGUCUUUAUUCAAUGCAAUAUAACAGGAA